rnacentral:lncRNA from 1 species
CUUCUGCACAUCAGACACUACUUAUACUUUUUACUUGGAUCAUCUGAUGUCUUGACUUCCAGAAAUGCAUUUCCCAUUGUUUAUGAUAAUAGGAGUUCUUUUCCUCUUUAAACUCUGAUCCUUUGCUCUGGAGAAGCCAGGCACCAUGGCAUGAGGCAGCCCUGUGGAGAGGUUCAUGUGGUACAGGACCAGGCCUGCAGCAUCACUUGAUACAAAGAAGUAAGUUACUGUUGGAUUAAGAAUAUCCAAGACAAUGGUCACAACUUGAAAGCACAUGGAAAAACAUGAAUUAUUUUUAUAAUGUCAGCUAAUCCACAGCUGUGCCACCUGUUAGUAUGGAUGCUAUCCAAAAGGAUUUUUGAAACCUUGUUAUCCAAAUGCAGAAGUGGCAGCUGAAGAGAUGAUUUGUGACAGUAUUUGCUGAGACGAAGUCUGUCCACUAGAUGGAUAAAACCAGUUCCCUUUUCAUAGGUCUGUAAGUAGCCAACAGCUAAGAAGCAAAUUAUUAAUU